rnacentral:rRNA from 1 species
GACGAACGCUGGCGGCGUGCUUAACACAUGCAAGUCGAACGAAGAGCGAUGGAAGCUUGCUUCUAUCAAUCUUAGUGGCGAACGGGUGAGUAACGCGUAAUCAACCUGCCCUUCAGAGGGGGACAACAGUUGGAAACGACUGCUAAUACCGCAUACGAUCCAAUCUCGGCAUCGAGACUGGAUGAAAGGUGGCCUCUAUUUAUAAGCUAUCACUGAAGGAGGGGAUUGCGUCUGAUUAGCUAGUUGGAGGGGUAACGGCCCACCAAGGCGAUGAUCAGUAGCCGGUCUGAGAGGAUGAACGGCCACAUUGGGACUGAGACACGGCCCAGACUCCUACGGGAGGCAGCAGUGGGGAAUCUUCCGCAAUGGACGAAAGUCUGACGGAGCAACGCCGCGUGAGUGAUGACGGCCUUCGGGUUGUAAAGCUCUGUUAAUCGGGACGAAUGGUUCUUGUGCAAAUAGUGCGAGGAUUUGACGGUACCGGAAUAGAAAGCCACGGCUAACUACGUGC